GCUAUCAGUACACUACCAGACGUCGAACGCUAAGCAAAUCUCUUAAAUAAAAAUCCAAGUGUGAAAAAAUGAAGUUUUACGUAUUUUUCUUUCUGCUCGUCGUUGUCACCUUAUGUGCUGCCGAUCUCAUUCCUAACCUCCUACCGGAGAAAUGUAAUAGCUUCCAAAGCGCUCUCUGCUCCGUCAAAUGUUUGUCAGAUAAUCAUUUGUGUUUAAAAUCUGACGCAAGCUUAGGCUACACAUGCACAUGUUUUUAAAGAUAAAACAGCUGAACCGAUGAAUCGGCUUUUCACUCAACACUGGAUCAUCAUUAUAUUAUCAACAAAAAAGUACAAGAAACAGCAUUUUAAAUAUAACCGUUUUACAUAAUUUGGAGCGAGGUCAAUAUUUCAAACGAUGGCACUUGAAUUGUGUAUAACUCGACAAAUUUUAUAUCAAGAAUCAUAUAUUUCUAUAUGUAAUAUUACCGUUACUUUUGGAUUAUUUUGACGAAAAUAUUUAUGAAAAUAUUCAAUAAAAAAUAUCUAAUAAUUAA